GAACCGGACAUCGUAGGAGAACCAUUUCUGCAUCAGAUUGGGUUUAGCACCUGAACCGGACAUCGUAGGAGAACCAUUUCUGCAUCAGAUUGGGUUUAGCACCUGAACCGGACAUCGUAGGAGAACCAUUUCUGCAUCAGAUUGGGUUUAGCACCUGAACCGGACAUCGUAGGAGAACCAUUUCUACAUCAGAUUCACCUGAACCGGACAUCGUGGGAGAACUAUUUUCGCAUCAGAUUGGGUUUUGCACCUGAACCCGACAUAGUAGGUGAACCAUUUCUGCAUCAGAUUUUGUUUUGCACUUGAAUCCGACAUCACAGGGGAACUAUUCUUGCAUCAGAUUGUAUUUUCGAGAUAAUAAAACUGAGUUAGAAGAUAUUAAGACCGGAUCCUGCUAGAGGUAGGGCGAGACAGAAUUACUCUAAAAUUUCAUGUGUAAUCAAUGUGAUCUAUAUGAUCCGGGGAAAUUUCAACACUUUGUUUAUGUUUUCAGUUCGUAAUGGCCUACGCAGCACGUUGAAAUUGGAUAUAAUUUGCGCAUCUUCUGUUAUUACUGUUGAAUUACAGGUUUCUGUUUACUUCUAGUCUAACUUGACAAUGAGCAUUCGGGUUGGCUGUUGUUUCUUUCCGUUUAGUCGGUGUUGCGCAGUUGUGAGGUGAGCACGUGUUCUCAUUCUUAGUCGGUCUUCAUCGCAACUGUUAGCGUUUCUCAAGAUUUUAAUACGGUAGAAGCAUUAGAAUCGUUUGGUCAUCGAUUACUGGCUAAGUGAUUUAUGACGAAUUGACUCUAGAUUUAAGAGACUUUACCUCGUGCGGGUGUGAAUGCAACCGGCCGUCGGAUCUCAUCCGUGAGGCUUCCAAUUGGAAUUAUUGGUGAAAAUGGCUCAAUUGUUAAUUCGCGGGAAUAAAUCACAUGUUUUCCCGGUGUGUGGUAGUUGCCAGUGCAAAAUUAAUACAUCAAUUCUACUAACAAUUCUACUUCGUGCGAUUUAGAACUUCAUUGAUGGGACAACAAAGGAGUAACGUCAAGUAAAAAAUUACCUUUGUUCAACUGUUUUUAAGUUUUACAAGUAAUUAUUGCUACGGGAUUUGAUAACCGUCGAUGAUUUCUUUUGUUUUUACACUGUAUAUAUUUUUAUUGAUUGUCAAUAAAACGCAAUGUAAUACUAUAA